rnacentral:lncRNA from 1 species
UCAACUCAAAUUUAAACUUAGUUUUAAAUUUUAAAAAUAAAUAUAAAUUCAAAUUUUUAAUUUAAAUUGCUAAUAUAAGUCGUUUUUUUUUAUAUUUCCACCUCUUUAUACAUAAUUAAAGAAUAAAAUUAUAAAACUAUAGUUUUUCGUAUUUCACUUUAUAAACAAUCAAAUAAUCUUACUGAAAAGUCACUUUUGAAAACGUCAUUUUCGCUAAAGUAAUUUUUUUUACUUCAGUCACUUUCGGACAACCAAACAUGUUCUAAAUAAAAUAUAAUUUCAGUGAAGAGCUUUCCAAAAAAAAUCUCUUGGAAGAACCCUGAUUUUCGAGGAAUUCUACACUGUCACACUUGCACCACGUCAUCAAUAACAAGUCAAUAACAUUCCUUCUUUUCAAACAAAAGUACAAUAAAAAUACUUUUUUACAAUCAUGAUGGGACAUAUAUUCUUAAAAUGAUUAAUUUGAUUGGUUUGUUACGCCACGUCACUAAUAUAUCCGUUGCAUUCUAGAAUUUUUUCUGAUCUUCGGCUGCAUUUCAAUUCUAUAUUUACACAAAAAUUAUAAUUUUUUUUUAAUAAAUUUUU